rnacentral:tRNA from 1 species
GGAAAGGUACCCAAGAGGUUAUAAGGGGACUGACUCGAAAUCAGUUAGGCGCCUCACGGCGUGCGAGGGUUCGAAUCCCUCUCUUUCCGCCA